UCGUGAGGUGCAAAACCAAAGCAUGUUGCGGCCCCAAACAUCAUCAUGAAAACUCUGAAGCGGAACUUCUUGUUCUUGGCAAAAUCACAGUCAGUGGCAGGUUUCACUCUACAGAGGAAGAAUGAUGCCGUCAACAAAUAA